UCCAUCGUGAGGUGGAAUCUGAAGGAAGCUGGAGGCAAACGCUUGGCCUAAGGUACACGAACCCAAUUUGAGGCUAGGAUAGUCGGAUGAGCCUGCUUAACAAGGCAAAGUCCAGAGCCGCCAAAGGCUAUUCUAGUAUACUUGGGUAGGCACAUGAGCGGAAAGAUGGUGCC
rnacentral:ncRNA from 1 species